CGUUUCCUGAGGUGUUUGCUAGUUCAUUCAUGUCCCUGGCCGAUGCUUUAAACCUAGGAAACUGACGUUUUGCUAUUGCGCAAGCUCAGCUUGUACUGAGAAGCCUACGGUGAAAAAGAGGUUUCCGCCCUGAACAUUUCGGUUCACGGGCGAAAAUGAACGGCGGUACCUUGGGAAACAC
rnacentral:other from 1 species